rnacentral:rRNA from 1 species
GAUGAACGCUGGCGGCGUGCCUAAUACAUGCAAGUCGAGCGAACAGACGAGAAGCUCGCUCCUCUAACGUUAGCGACGGGCGGGCGAGUAACACGUGGAUAACCUACUUCUUAGUCGUGGAUGACUACGGAAAGCCGCAUCCGCUACCAGCUCAUACAUUCAACGGCUUGAUUCAAUAGUUCAUGGGACUUUUCGUGUCUCUAUUAGAUGGUGCCGCGCCGGAUUAGCUAGUUGGUAAGGUAACGGCUUACCAAGGCAACGAUGCGUAGCUGAGCUGAGAGGAUGAUCAGCCACACUGGAACUGAGACACGGUCCAGACUCCUACGGGAGGCAGCAGUAGGGAAUAUUCGACAAUGGGCGAAAGCCUGACGGAGCAACGCCGCGUGAGUGAAGAAGGCCUUCGGAUCGUAAAACUCUGUUAUUGGGAAAGAACAAAUGUAGAAGUAUAUACGGACGUCUUGACGGUACCUAAACAGAAAGCACCGGCUAACUACGUG